rnacentral:lncRNA from 1 species
GAGAUCAUCCAAGGUGAAGGUCACGGAAGCGCCGUCGACUGGUGGACCUUCGGGAUCUUCCUCUACGAGCUUCUUCACGGAACUACUCCAUUCAAAGGAUCUGGAAACAGAGCUACUCUGUUCAAUGUCGUGGAGCAACCGCUUAGAUUCCCUGAGGCGCCGCAAGUUAGUCUAGCUGCUCGGGAUCUGAUCAGAGGACUUCUUAUUAAGGAGCCGCAAAAGAGAAUCGCGUACCGGAGAGGUGCAACGGAGAUUAAACAGCAUCCGUUCUUCGAUGGAGUGAAUUGGGCGUUGGUUAGAAGUGCUAUGCCGCCGCAUGUCCCGGAACCGGUGGAUUUCACGCAGUUUGCUAGAAAGAGGAGCGGGACCGGAGCGGUAGAAGA